rnacentral:rRNA from 1 species
UACGGGGGGGCGAAGCGGUUGUUCGGAAUUACUGGGCGUAAAGGGCUUGUAGGUGGCCAACUAAGUCAGACGUGAAAUCCCUCGGCUUAACCGGGGAACUGCGUCUGAUACUGGAUGGCUUGAGUUUGGGAGAGGGAUGCGGAAUUCCAGGUGUAGCGGAUGAAAUGCGUAGAUAUCUGGAGGAACACCGGUGGCGAAGGCGGCAUCCUGGACC